GACGUGAGUGCGCAGCAUGACCUCCGGUGACCCCCGCUCAUUGGUAGUAAAGCCGCCAUCUGGAAGUGACAGCGACUUCAAUUUAGUUCCAGGUUCCUUGGACAGUACUUUGCACAGUCGUGCUGCGGAUGGUGUGUUUUCAACGUCAUCGCAGAACCGCCUCCAGCACUGUCUUUUGGAGUCCCUGAGUGUCUUUUUGUAUUGCCUUUGAGCUGCGUGGAACGCAUCCCAGUUAGUGGCAAGCUUAGUGCGCUCAGCCCUGCGAAGGAGCCGACGCGUAGUGUUACGGUGCUUUUCCGUGUUCCUGUUCCACCAGGCAUUCUUGGCAUUGGCGGGUAUCCGUCUGAGGGGACAGCGGCCGACGAAUGCUGCGACUAUCGCACGAGUCAGGUUGACAGUCCCGAUCUCUGUGUCGGCCGGAAGUGUGUACCUUGCCGGCAUGUCCGCAAGACCACCGACUAGUUCCUCUCGAAAGUGGUCCCAGUCAGUGCACCUUGGGUUUCUGUAGGCUGGGAUAUCGCACCGAGCCUGCUUCUUUAAUUCAAAAAGAAUGUGCCUGUGUUCCAACAUUGUGACCUCAAGGGACACUCUCCAUGAGCUGAAAAGGUUCACAAUACCAGGUGAACAUUACUAUCUGGUCAAUAAUUGAUUGACCCCUAUUGCAGUAGAAAGUUGGGACACUGCCUCGGUUAAGUAGUUCUAUGUUGAGAGUAAAUGCUAAAGAAGCUUCGGAACUAUAUUUCCAUAGAUAUCCAGAGAGAAGGCAACCGUUUUUUGGUAUAUUUGCUCGUUUAAAGGACAAUUUACUUGAGCACGGAUCUUUUGUUUAGUCGUGUCCUAAAGCAUACAAUAAAGAAAAUAGGGAAGAAAAAGAAAUAGAUGUUUUAGGUUAUAUAGAAGCGACACUCUCGAGCUCAUGCAGAAAAAUCGAAAAAGAAAUUGGAGUGCCAAAAACUGACUCACAACUAGAUGGUACCUAGACAUACUUGAGGAAGUUAUUCCAGAACUUCUGGAAAAUAUCCCUCAAGCCCAAUAUAGCACUGUCUACCUACAAAAAGAUGAUUCAUAACUCUGGGCUUGUAAGGGCAUUUCUUGAAAUAACUUUGCUCAAAGAUGGAUGGGUACCAACGGACCUGUUAGGUGGCCUCCACGGUCCCCCGAUCCCUCGAUUUGAAUUUUUUUUUAUGGGGGUAUAUACAAGAUCAAGUAAUAGAACUUCAAGACGCAAUUCAUUUAACAUUUCAAAAUCUGAGAAGCAGAGAAAUUAUUAUUUUGAAUGCUAUUCAAAGGCUUACACAGAUGUGCCAAUUUUGUAUCAGAGAAGAUGGUGGUCACUUCGAACAUCUCUUGUAAAAAUGUUGUUUUGUUAUAUGGUUGUUAUCUUAUAGUAUUUAUUAAAUUUAUAUACUUGUUUU